GAUGAACGCUGGCGGCGUGCCUAAUACAUGCAAGUAGAACGCUGAAGGAGGAGCUUGCUCUUCUGGAUGAGUUGCGAACGGGUGAGUAACGCGUAGGUAACCUGCCUGGUAGCGGGGGAUAACUAUUGGAAACGAUAGCUAAUACCGCAUGACAACAGUUAUUGCAUGAUAACUGUUUAAAAGGGGCAACUGCUCCACUACCAGAUGGACCUGCGUUGUAUUAGCUAGUUGGUGAGGUAACGGCUCACCAAGGCGACGAUACAUAGCCGACCGGAGAGGGGGAUCGGCCACACUGGGACGGUGACACGGCCCAGAGGCCUACGGGAGGCAGCAGUAGGGAAUCUUCGGCAAUGGACGGAAGUCUGACCGAGAAACGCCGCGGGAGUGAAGAAGGUUUUCGGAUCGUAAAGCUCUGUUGUAAGAGAAGAACGAGUGUGAGAGUGGAAAGUUCACACUGUGACGGUAUCUUACCAGAAAGGGACGGCUAACUACGUG
rnacentral:rRNA from 1 species